GCAGUUCUCAGCAGGCAUCUAGCGAGAACGAAAUGUGAAGGAGAAGGAUGGGGAUGCGUCUGAUUAGCUUGUUGGCGGGGCAACGGCCCACCAAGGCGACGAUCAGUAGGGGUUCUGAGAGGAAGGUCCCCCACAUUGGAACUGAGACACGGUCCAAACUCCUACGGGAGGCAGCAGUGAGGAAUAUUGGUCAAUGGACGGAAGUCUGAACCAGCCAAGUAGCGUGCAGGAUGACGGCCCUAUGGGUUGUAAACUGCUUUUAUACGGGGAUAAAGUGAGCCACGUGUGGCUUAUUGCAGGUACCGUAUGAAUAAGGACCGGCUAAUUCCGUGCCAGCAGCCGCGGUAAUACGGAAGGUCCGGGCGUUAUCCGGAUUUAUUGGGUUUAAAGGGAGCGUAGGCCGUCUGUUAAGCGUGUUGUGAAAUGUCGGGGCUCAACCUGGGCAUUGCAGCGCGAACUGGCAGACUUGAGUGCGCGGGAAGUAGGCGGAAUUCGUCGUGUAGCGGUGAAAUGCUUAGAUAUGACGAAGAACUCCGAUUGCGAAGGCAGCCUGCUGUAGCGUAACUGACGCUGAAGCUCGAAAGCGUGGGUAUCGAACAGGAUUAGAUACCGUGGUAGUCCACGCGGUAAACGAUGGAUGCUCGCUGUUUGCGUCUGACGUAAGCGGCCAAGCGAAAGCGUUAAGG
rnacentral:rRNA from 2 species